rfam:Gasterosteus aculeatus cont1.009845, whole genome shotgun sequence.
UUAAUUAGUACAGCCUGUAUUAGUAAUGUCAUUUAUUCUUUACAGGCUAUGCUAAUCUAUGC